GACGAACGCUGACGGCGUGCUUAACACAUGCAAGUCGAACGCUGAAGCCCUUCGGGGUGGAUGAGUGGCGAACGGGUGAGUAACACGUGGGCAAUCUGCCCUGCACUCUGGGAUAAGCCUUGGAAACGGGGUCUAAUACCGGAUAGGACACAUCGCCGCAUGGUGUGUGUGUGGAAAGUUCCGGCGGUGCAGGUUGAGCCCGCGGCCUAUCAGCUUGUUGGUGGGGUGAUGGCCUAACAAGGCGACGACGGGUAGCCGGCCUGAGAGGGUGACCGGCCACACUGGGACUGAGACACGGCCCAGACUCCUACGGGAGGCAGCAGUGGGGAAUCUUGCGCAAUGGGCGAAAGCCUGACGCAGCAACGCCGCGUGGGGGAUGACGGCCUUCGGGUUGUAAACCUCUUUCGACCGGGACGAAGGAUUCGUUUGACGGUACCGGUAGAAGAAGCACCGGCUAACUACGUGCCAGCCGCCGCGGUAAGAC
rnacentral:rRNA from 1 species